GACACUUCCAAAACGCGGUCAAACAUAAACACCGUUCAGCCAUCCGUUCUUCAGUUUCCUCCUGAAUUUAUGUGCGCGAAUACACAACACUUUACGGUAUCGCGUGUUUUCUGAGCUGACUGAGGCCAUGUCAGCGGUGUGGAUCAGCUCCUCUCUACUGAGGUCCAGGGCAACUCACCUCAGACAGCUCAGUGUGUUCUCUAGAAGGGCUGUGUUACAACCUCUACAGGUGGUCUCCUCACUACAGAAGACAUGGACACCUGGGAACCCAACCUGGUGCUGUAGAUCCCUCCAUGUGGACAGUCCCCCCCUGGUCCCAGGGCAGAGCUUCAGCUACGUCCAUGGGGCCUCCUCAGUGUCCCUGCUGGGCCAGACGGUGGG